AAAGGAGGUCCCUCUAAACCAAGAGACACAGAGAUCCACAUCACCUGUAGAUCUCACACUCUUCACUUCAGCUUCUUGACCCUCAAUCUGUGGACAAGAUGAAGCGUCUUGUGGCCUUGGCUGUGUUGAUGCUGGUGGUCUACAUGGCCGAUCCUGUUGCAGCACAGAGCGGACCCCAAGGACCAGAUCCAGAUUAUAACCCCCAUCAUGCAGGCCCUGAG